rfam:Hordeum vulgare subsp. vulgare, WGS project CAJW01000000 data, contig: morex_contig_275986
GCCGAGCUUAGUAGCGAGAGCUUGUAACCCGAGUGGGGGCAUCAAGGUGAUGUGGACGCUGUUGUAGUGUUGCGGACCUGGUUGAGGUGUGCUAUUGCUGGCCCGCCCGUUCCAAGUUGCGUAGUGAAUCGGUUGGGACCUAUGCGAAAGCUGGGCCUCACGGUUCAUAAUGUGGCAGGCACAGCGUGAGGCUGGCUUCACAGAGCAGCGAUAACUGCCCGCUUCCAACGGUGGAAGGAUAACGGGCCGCUGCACUCCUCGGCCGCUUGGGCCUCGCAACCUACUCCAACGAACCAUCACUUUU